rnacentral:rRNA from 2 species
AAAUGAUUCGUCGCCAUAGGAUGGGGACUGCGGCCUAUCAGCUUGUUGGUGAGGUAAUGGCCCACCAAGGCGAUUACAGGUACGGGCUCUGAGAGGAGAAGCCCGGAGAUGGGUACUGAGACAAGGACCCAGGCCCUAUGGGGCGCAGCAGGCGAGAAAACUUUGCAAUGUGCGAAAGCACGACAAGGUUAAUCCGAGUGAUUUCUGCUAAAGAAAUCUUUUGCAAGUCAUAAAACCACUAGUGAAUAAGGGGUGGGCAAGUUCUGGUGUCAGCCGCCGCGGUAAAACCAGCACCUCAAGUGGUCAGGAGGAUUAUUGGGCCUAAAGCAUCCGUAGCCGGCUCUGCAAGUUUUCGGUUAAAUCCAUGUGCUCAACACAUGGGCUGCCGAAAAUACUGCAUAGCUAGGGAGUGGGAGAGGUAGACGGUACUCGGUAGGAAGGGGUAAAAUCCUUUGAUCUAUCGAUGACCACCUGUGGCGAAGGCGGUCUACCAGAACACGUUCGACGGUGAGGGAUGAAAGCUGGGGGAGCAAACCGGAUUAGAUACCCGGGUAGUCCCAGCUGUAAACGAUGCAGACUCGAUGAUGCAUUGGCAUAUAGCCAGUGCAGUGUCGCAGGGAAGCCGUUAAGUCUGCCGCCUGGGAAGUACGUACGCAAGUAUGAAACUUAAAGGAAUUGGCGGGGGAGCACCACAAGGGGUGAAGCCUGCGGUUCAAUUGGAGUCAACGCCGGA